UAAUACAUGCAAGUCGAACGCUUUGUCUUUAAUUGAUAUGAAGAGCUUGCUCUGAUUUGAUUUUAUCUGACAAAGAGUGGCGAACGGGUGAGUAACACGUGGGUAACCUACCUCUUAGCAGGGGAUAACAUUUGGAAACAAGUGCUAAUACCGUAUAACACUAACAACCGCAUGGUUGUUAGUUGAAAGAUGGUUCUGCUAUCACUAAGAGAUGGACCCGCGGUGCAUUAGCUAGUUGGUAAGGUAAUGGCUUACCAAGGCGAUGAUGCGUAGCCGAGUUGAGAGACUGAUCGGCCACAAUGGGACUGAGACACGGCCCAUACUCCUACGGGAGGCAGCAGUAGGGAAUCUUCCACAAUGGGCGCAAGCCUGAUGGAGCAACGCCGCGUGUGUGAUGAAGGGUUUCGGCUCGUAAAACACUGUUAUAAGAGAAGAACGACAUUGAGAGUAACUGUUCAGUGUGUGACGGUAUCUUAUCAGAAAGGAACGGCUAAAUACGUGCCAGCAGCCGCGGUAAUACGUAUGUUCCAAGCGUUAUCCGGAUUUAUUGGGCGUAAAGCGAGCGCAGACGGUUAUUUAAGUCUGAAGUGAAAGCCCUCAGCUCAACUGAGGAAGGGCUUUGGAAACUGGAUAACUUGAGUGCAGUAGAGGAAAGUGGAACUCCAUGUGUAGCGGUGAAAUGCGUAGAUAUAUGGAAGAACACCGGUGGCGAAAGCGGCUUUCUGGACUGUAACUGAC
rnacentral:rRNA from 1 species